ACAUGCAAGUCGAGCGGUAGCGGGCCUGACCACUCUCGAGUGGUUCAGGCGCCGACGAGCGGCGGACGGGUGCGUAACACGUAGGAAUCUGCCCGGUAGUGGGGGAUAGCCCGGAGAAAUUCGGAUUAAUACCGCAUACGCCCUAAGGGGGAAAGCAGGGGAUCUUCGGACCUUGCGCUAUCGGAUGAGCCUGCGUCGGAUUAGCUAGUUGGUGGGGUAAAGGCCUACCAAGGCGACGAUCCGUAGCUGGUCUGAGAGGAUGAUCAGCCACACUGGGACUGAGACACGGCCCAGACUCCUACGGGAGGCAGCAGUGGGGAAUAUUGCACAAUGGGCGAAAGCCUGAUGCAGCCAUGCCGCGUGUGUGAAGAAGGCCCUAGGGUUGUAAAGCACUUUCAGUGGGGAGGAAAGGUCGAAGGUUAAUACCCUUUGGCUGUGACGUUACCCACAGAAGAAGCACCGGCUAACUCCGUGCCAGCAGCCGCGGUAAUACGGAGGGUGCGA
rnacentral:rRNA from 1 species